rnacentral:rRNA from 1 species
UACAGAGGGGGCAAGCGUUGUUCGGAAUUACUGGGCGUAAAGGGCGCGUAGGCGGCCUGCUAAUUCGAACGUGAAAUCCCUGGGCUCAACCCAGGAACUGCGUCCGAUACUGGUUGGCUUGAAUCCGGGAGAGGGACGUGGAAUUCCAGGUGUAGCGGUGAAAUGCGUAGAUAUCUGGAGGAACACCGGUGGCGAAGGCGACGUCCUGGACCGGCAUUGACGCUGAGGAGCGAAAGCGUGGGGAGCGAACAGG